GAUGAGCGCUAGCGGCAGGCUUAAUACAUGCAAGUCGAGGGGUAACAGGGGUAGCAAUACCUGCUGACGACCGGCAAACGGGUGCGGAACACGUACGCAACUUUCCCAAAACUGGUGAAUAGCCCUCCGAAAGGAGGAUUAAUACACCGUAACAUAAUGAAGUGGCAUCACUUUAUUAUUAUAGCCUUUACGGUGGUUUGGGAUGGGCGUGCGGCUGAUUAGGUAGUUGGUUGGGGUAACGGCCCACCAAGCCUGCGAUCAGUAACUGGUGUGAGAGCACGACCAGUCACACGGGCACUGAGACACGGGCCCGACUCCUACGGGAGGCAGCAGUAAGGAAUAUUGGUCAAUGGACGCAAAUCUGAACCAGCCAUGCCGCGUGGAGGAUGAAGGCCCUCUGGGUUGUAAACUUACUUUUAUC
rnacentral:rRNA from 1 species